UCAGGACGAACGCUGGCGGCAUGCCUAACACAUGCAAGUCGAACGGAGUAAUGACUUCGGUUAUUACUUAGUGGCGAACGGGUGAGGUAACACGUGAAUAAUCUGCCCUGUACGAUGGGAUAACAGCUGGAAACGGCUGCUAAUACCGUAUAUGACCACGCCGAGGCAUCUCGGAGGGGUGAAAGCGCUUAAGCGGUACAGGAUGAGUUCGCGUCCAAUUAGCUAGUUGGUGAGGUAACGGCCCACCAAGGCGACGAUUGGUAGCCGACCUGAGAGGGUGAUCGGCCACACUGGAACUGAGACACGGUCCAGACUCCUACGGGAGGCAGCAGUGGGGAAUAUUGGGCAAUGGAGGAAACUCUUACCCAGCCAAUGCCGCGUGAGUGAUGAAGGUCUUCGGAUUGUAAAGCUCUUUGAUUGGGGACGAAUAAAUGACGGUACCCAAGGAACAAGCCCCGGCUAACUAUGUGCCAGCCGCUGC
rnacentral:rRNA from 1 species